rnacentral:misc_RNA from 1 species
AUCGAAUCACCAUCCUUUAAGGUAUGGCAUUUACGAAAUACACAUCAGGCUUCCCGGGCUUAUUUACUACUGAUACUGGACAUUUUGAACAAAUGGUAAAAACUUGAAAAGAGUUUAAGUCUUCCUCUCUCUAGUUUUCUACACCAAAAUAUGCCCCAAAGAGAAGCAACGUACAUGAGAAGGUGAAAAUCUAACAAAUAUUCCCUUUCCUUCGUCCAGGCUUUCAAGAAAAGAACUCAAG